rnacentral:rRNA from 1 species
UACGUAGGGUGCAAGCGCUAAUCGGAAUUACUGGGCGUAAAGCGUGCGCAGGCGGUUUGUAAGUUUGUCGUGAAAAGCCCGGGCUCAACCUGGGAAUUGCGAUGAAGACUGCAAGGCUUGAAUCUGGCAGAGGGGGGUAGAAUUCCACGUGUAGCAGUGAAAUGCGUAGAGAUGUGGAGGAACACCGAUGGCGAAGGCAGCCCCCUGGGUCAAGAUUGACGCUCAUGCACGAAAGCGUGGGGAGCAAACAGGAUUAGAAACCC